rnacentral:rRNA from 1 species
UACGUAGGGGGCAAGCGUUGUCCGGAAUUAUUGGGCGUAAAGCGCGCGUAGGCGGCCAGGUAGGUCCGCUGUGAAAACUCGAGGCUCAACCUCGAGAUGUCGGCGGAAACCAUCUGGCUAGAGUCCGGAAGAGGAGAGUGGAAUUCCCGGUGUAGCGGUGAAAUGCGCAGAUAUCGGGAAGAACACCCGUGGCGAAGGCGGCUCGCUGGGACGGUACUGACGCUGAGACGCGAAAGCGUGGGGAGCGAACAGG